GCCCGCUUAGCUCAGUUGGUAGAGCAUUAGACUUUUAAUCUGAGGGCCGUGGGUUCAACUCCCAUAUCGGGCU
rnacentral:tRNA from 1 species